UGGGGAAUUUUGCACAAUGGGGGAAACCCUGAUGCAGCGACGCCGCGUGAUUUAGAAGGCCUUCGGGUUGUAAAAAUCUUUUCUAUGGGAAGAAAAUGACAGUACCAUAGGAAUAAGGACCGGCUAAUUAGGUGCCAGCAGCCGCGGUAAUACGUAAGGUCCGAGCGUUGUCCGGAAUCAUUGGGCGUAAAGGGUACGUAGGCGGGUAAGCAAGUUAGAAGUGAAAUCCUGUAGCUCAACUACAGUAAGCUUUUAAAACUGCUCAUCUUGAGAUAUGGAAGGGAAAGUGGAAUUCCUAGUGUAGCGGUGAAAUGCGCAGAUAUUAGGAGGAAUACCGGUGGCGAAGGCGACUUUCUGGCCAUAAUCUGACGCUGAGGUACGAAAGCGUGGGUAGCAAACAGG
rnacentral:rRNA from 1 species